UUUCUACUCCCUCCGUCCGAAAAUACUUGUCAUCAAAAUGGAUAAAAAGAGAUGUAUCUAAAACUAAAAUACGUCUAGAUACAUUUCCUUUUAUCCAUUUUGAUGAUAAGUAUUUCCGGACGGAGGAAGUAUUUG
rnacentral:pre_miRNA from 1 species